CGUCUCUAUUGUCUCCAAAGCCUGAGGAACCAAGGGGACUCUGCAUUAGCAGCAAGGGUGGAAAACUGGAGACGAGUCAUUGCUUCUGCCUCGGUGGGAGGAGGAUCUUCUUCGUCUGAGUCCUGGAUAUCCAGCUGAUGGUAGUGGACUACAACUGGCUUACUUAAAGCAGCUUCAAUCUACACUGCUACCUGCUGAGAGGCCUCUGAGCUAUUCUGGAGACUACACCCUAUCCUGCACUUCAUCACCUGCAGCUGGUUCCGGGCUCCAAGAAUGGAUUUGCGGGAGAUGGGCCUCUCCCCCUUUAUAAGCACAGUUUUCUAUUAAACAUUCAAGCUUUGACCAGGAACCUUGACUUAGCUCCAUUUUUCUCUCGACCGCCUAUUUCCCCUCUCUUUUCAGCCCUACCCGGCUUGCCUCCCAG
rnacentral:lncRNA from 1 species